UCCUAUACCACCCUGAACCUAUCUGACCUUCUGAUCUAGGAAGCUAAGCAGGGCUGGGCCUGGUUAGUAUUUGGAUAGGAGGCUGACAGAAUACUUUUUUGCAUUCAUAGAGU
rnacentral:rRNA from 1 species